CGAUGGGGUAGAGGAGCAGUUUUUAAAAGUACGCUGUGUGAGGAUGACAACAAAGAUCACAGUUGAAAGGAAAAGCUGCCGAAAUAGCGAAUGUAUGUCAAAGGCGUCGCUAUUGGGGUUAUCUUAAACAAGGAUAACACUCUCAUUGCGUAAAUUUACUUUUACGUUAUGAGGAGCUACAGAUCGU
rnacentral:ncRNA from 1 species